AGCGAACGCUGGCGGCAGGCCUAACACAUGCAAGUCGAACGAACCUUUCGGGGUUAGUGGCGGACGGGUGAGUAACACGUGGGAACGUGCCUUUAGGUUCGGAAUAACUCAGGGAAUCUUGUGCUAAUACCGAAUGUGCUCUUCGGGGGAAAGAUUAAUCGCCUUUAGAGCGGCCCGCGUCUGAUUAGCUAGUUGGUUGAGGUAAUGGCUCACCAAGGCGACGAUCAGUAGCUGGUCUGAGAGGAUGAUCAGCCACAUUGGGACUGAGACACGGCCCAAACUCCUACGGGAGGCAGCAGUGGGGGAUCUUGCGCGAUGGGCGAAAGCCUGACGCAGCCAUGCCGCGUGAAUGAUGAAGGUCUUAGGAUUGUAAAAUUCUUUCACCGGGGACGAUAAUGACGGUACCCGGAGAAGAAGCCCCGGCUAACUUCGUG
rnacentral:rRNA from 1 species